UUUUCCCCAAUUGUUGCAAAAUAAAGCAAAUGCAGAGUUUCUAGGACUAUAAAAGGAACUCAACUUCCCGGAUCCUAGUAAAGAAACAGGAAACAGCUUGAAGCUCUCUGGUUUGUUUUAUGGCUCAUGAAAAAGCUUUAGCCCAACUUGGCAAAAGAAAGGCAGGGAAAGAGUUCACAUGGCUCUGCACAAACCCAACCCAAUUACUAAUUUCAUGUUAGCCACUCUUUAUGUGGAAUUAGAGGGCUCACAGAUGCCCUGCCCUCCAAAACACGCCACAGGGAGGACACAUUCCCAUCAGCAUCAGGGGUUCAUGCUAACACAGAGAAAAUGCGUAUGACUGCAGGAGUCCAUGCUUGGUUUAAAUAGCCCUGCUGUUGACUCAGAUAUGUACAGGUAGGCAGGAACCACACACUGCACACAUAUACCACAUGCCACCACACACCAUACAUCCCACACACCAAUGUGUGCACAAAUACAUGCACAACCAUACAUACACACCAUACAUACAACACACAUACACCAUACACACAACACACACCAAUGUGUGCACAAAUACACAGCCACAUACCACAUGCACAUGCAAGCACACACAAUGGAGAAUCACUGCCUCAAAAGCUCCUCAUAUGCUAUUAUCUGUCAGAAUGUGAACCAUAGAUCUGAUAUUGCAAAAGAAAUGUGUUUUAUGCAACUUUAUUAAUACAUUUAUUUAAUGUGACUCCAUAUUCAACAGAAACAAUCCAAGAUACUCUCUUAUUUAUAAUAGAAUACUUACUUCUUUUGUGCUUUCUUUAUGGACAUAGAUACAUUUUUCAUGAUAAAAACCUAGAAUAAAAAUUACCUUUGUUUUUAAAAUCUGGCAAAUCAUUUCAAAAUGAAGAUUUUAAAGGAAUUUAAAUAAUUGGACAUGUUAACAAAAUUAUCUGACUUACUAUAUUGACAAGAAAUGCUUUUACUUGGUUGAAUGCAAACAGAAUUGCUUUGUUUCUUAAAUCAGUUUAAGAUAUGAACAAUGAUUUCAGACAGUACCAAGUCCUAGUAACUUAGAAGAAAAGUAGUAUUAUUAAUGACUGAAGCCAUGUGAAGACAUAAAUGAUUAUAAAAUACAAUUACAUUACUACAUUCCUAUGUACCCUAAUAAAAAGUUCUAUUCUUCUGUUGCUGUGUAUAGUACUCCAUAGAAACAAAUUUUUCAGAUAAAUCUUAAAAGUUUCAAGAAUCACACUAACUGUAUUCUCCAUGUGACCCUAUCUUCUUCAUAAAGUAGUCCCCCCGUAUUCACAGUUUCAUCUUCUACAGUUUCAAUUACCCACAGUCAGCUUUGGUUUGAAAACAUUAAGUGGAAAAUUCCAGAAAUAAACCAUUCAUAAGUUUUAAAUUGUGUGCCAUUCUGGGUGGUGUCAUGAAAUCUCACACCGUCCUGCUCUGUCCUGCCUGGGAUGCAAAUCCUCCCUUUGUCAAGCGAGUCCUACACUACCCGCCCCUUGGUCACUCAGUAGCCGUCCUGGUUAUUGGAUCACCUGUUGAGAUAUCACAGUGCUUGUGUUUAAAGAACCCUUAUUGUACUUCAUAAUAGCCCCAAAAUGCAAGAGCAGUGAUGGUGGCCAUCUUGCUAUAACUGUUUCAUUUUAUUAUUAUUCUCGUUAAUCUCUUACUGCACCUAAUUUAUAAAUUAAACUUUAUUAUAAGUGUGUAUAUACAGAAAAAAAAACAUAGUAUCCAUAAGGUUUGGUAGUAUCCACAGUUUCAGGCAUCCACUGGAGGUCUAUCCCG
rnacentral:lncRNA from 1 species